GAUGAACGCUGGCGGUCUGCUUAACACAUGCAAGUCGAACGGAAUCUUUCGGGAUUUAGUGGCGGACGGGUGAGUAACGCGUGAGAAUCUGCCUUCAGGUUCGGGACAACAGCUGGAAACGGCUGCUAAUACCGGAUGUGCCGAGAGGUGAAAGCUUAAGUGCCUGGAGAUGAGCUCGCGUCUGAUUAGCUAGUAGGAGUGGUAACGGCACCCCUAGGCGACGAUCAGUAGCUGGUCUGAGAGGAUGAUCAGCCACACUGGGACUGAGACACGGCCCAGACUCCUACGGGAGGCAGCAGUGGGGAAUUUUCCGCAAUGGGCGCAAGCCUGACGGAGCAAGACCGCGUGAGGGAAGAAGGUCUGUGGAUUGUAAACCUCUUUUGAUAGGGAAGAAGACAGUGACGGUACCUAUCGAAUCAGCCUCGGCUAACUCCGUGCCAGCAGCCGCGGUAAUACGGAGGAGGCAAGCGUUAUCCGGAAUUAUUGGGCGUAAAGAGUCCGUAGGUGGGUAACCAAGUCAGCCGUUAAAUAGUGAAGCUUAACUUCAUAGAGGCGGCUGAAACUGGUUGUCUAGAGUGUGGUAGGGGUAGAGGGAAUUUCCAGUGUAGCGGUGAAAUGCGUAGAUAUUGGAAAGAACACCGGUGGCGAAAGCGCUCUACUGGGCCUGCACUGACACUGAGGGACGAAAGCUAGGGGAGCGAAAGGGAUUAGAUACCCCUGUAGUCCUAGCCGUAAACGAUGGAUACUAGGCGUUGCCCG
rnacentral:rRNA from 1 species